GUGAAACGUUUUUGCAUUGAAAAUUUAAUUAAAAAUCAACUAUUUUCGUUGAAUGAUGAAACUGUUUAUACAAAAGAUUGGCUCUUUAACUUGUUAACUGUUGUCUGUUGUUAAAAAACUAAGUGAAAAAAUGCACAUAAUGACAACAGAUUUAUUUUUAGAACUGUUUGCAAAACUUGGUUUAGAUACAAAAGACCAAGUGAAAAUGGUACUGGAAAGACUGUUUACUCCUGUCCCAAUCUAACCUAGUGGGUUUAAAAAGAAAGGACCGUGCUGGAAAAGUUAGAGGGUUAAAAAGAUUAGCUCUUUUUGAAUUAAUAGCCCAAGUCGUAACCAGCUUGUAUGAAAAGAUUUCCCGACGUGAAAUAGUUUUAUUCAACAAAAUUAUUUUAUUCAACAACGUCAAUAAUCAGAGCUCGCUUGAGAAACAGGAAAGAAAGAAAAAGAUGAAAUAAUAUU